rnacentral:rRNA from 1 species
GAUAGUGAACCAGUACCGUGAGGGAAAGGCGAAAAGAACCCCGGCGAGGGGAGUGAAAAAGAACCUGAAACCGUGUACGUACAAGCAGUGGGAGCACCUUCGGGUGUGACUGCGUACCUUUUGUAUAAUGGGUCAGCGACUUAUAUUCUGUAGCAAGGUUAACCGUAUAGGGGAGCCGAAGGGAAACCGAGUCUUAACUG